rnacentral:rRNA from 1 species
AUGGGCGCGGGCCUAUACGGUUACCUUGAUCAAACCAUUGAAGAACCUUCCAAAACAAUCACCACCAAGACCACCGACAGCAAGGAUCAGGUUGCUGUGAACUCUACCUAUGCCCCCUAGUUAAUCUAGGACCAACAAAUCAUAGCCUAUCUUCUCAGGAAUCUGUUCAAAGAGGUUCUCGUCCAGGUCGUGUUGCUUGAGCGAUCACGUGCGAUCUGGAGCGCCCUAGGGAACAUGUUCUCGGAUGUCUCCCUCUCUCGCGCCAACAACAUCCGAGCAGCUCUCACCAACGCACAAAAGGGGUCCCAAUCCUCCUCAGCAUACUUCGGCCACAUG